UAAAACCCUAAAACGGCUGGAGUCAUAUUCUAACUCAUUUCUAUCAACUUUCCUCUCAAUUUUAAUCCUUUGCUGAUUUGGGUUGAUUGAUUUCUGGGUUUUAUUGUUCUUAGUCUAAUCAAAAGACUCGUCGACUGUUCGUGCUUUUGAGGCGAACCGAGUCUAGGUUGCUUGCCAGGAGUUUUCACGUGGAUUAGCAAGCAGUGAGUUUGUACUUAUUAUUUACCGCUUUAUUAAGUAAAUUGUUAUUUUAAUAUUAAAUAUAUAUUGUACGUAUAUUUCGAACUGUUUUUAUAUUAUGGCUCUUAGUUGGAACAUGCUACCUAAUGGGCAUCAUUAGGACUGCGUGCGCACCUGUAAAGAUCUGGGUAAGGUAUUGUGUUAUUGUGGUAACUCGGUGUGAGCAUAGCUCUCGGGACCAGUAGAGUAACUCGGUGUGAGCCUAGCUCUCGGGACUGUGGAUAUGGAUUAAGUGCGGUCGGUGGUAACUCGGCAUUGGGCUCAGCUCUCGGGACCAGGCCAAUUGGAUUAUGGUUAUAUUAGUAUUGUGGAUUAGGGUUCCAACUAUUAUUCGUAAUGUUUAUAUUAAAUGUUUUAAACGGUUUUAAAGGUUUUCCACUUGAUAAAUGUAAAUAGUGGUAUAAACUCAUCUCAGUAUUAUCUGACCCCGUUGUUUUCCCAAUUUUCUCAGGGUUAUGAUCUGAGAGAGUCUGGUGAUCUCCGCAUUUACUUUUUCCUCGGAGGUUCUAUUUAUUUUUGAUAAACUGUAAAACUGUUUUAUUCUUAGACCGCAGUAGUAACUAGACGUCCUUAUUAUUAUUAUAUAUUUUAUCGGAUUGGUGCGACUAGUUAUUUUUCUCUGGCAUGUUAUAUGGUUAUUCCGGAUUAUUUAUGUUACGCCUAUUUUUAGACUCAGAAUUGG